rnacentral:rRNA from 1 species
CCUACGGGAGGCUGCAGUGAGGAAUAUUGGUCAAUGGACGAGAGUCUGAACCAGCCAAGUAGCGUGAAGGAUGACUGCCCUAUGGGUUGUAAACUUCUUUUAUAUGGGAAUAAAACGUUCCACGUGUGGGAUUUUGUAUGUACCAUAUGAAUAAGGAUCGGCUAACUCCGUGCCAGCAGCCGCGGUAAUACGGAGGAUCCGAGCGUUAUCCGGAUUUAUUGGGUUUAAAGGGAGCGUAGGUGGAUUGUUAAGUCAGUUGUGAAAGUUUGCGGCUCAACCGUAAAAUUGCAGUUGAAACUGGCAGUCUUGAGUACAGUAGAGGUGGGCGGAAUUCGUGGUGUAGCGGUGAAAUGCUUAGAUAUCACGAAGAACUCCGAUUGCGAAGGCAGUUCACUGGACUGCAACUGACACUGAGGCUCGAAAGUGUGGGUAUCAAACAGGGUUAGAUACCCCAGUAGUC